CAGCCGCCGCGGUAAUACCGGCGGCCCGAGUGGCGGUCACUAUUAUUGGGCUUAAAACGUCCGUAGCCGGGUUGGGAAGUCCUCCGGGAAAUCUGGCCGCUUAAAGGUCAGAAUGCCGGAGGAUACUCCCAGCCUAGGGAGCGGGAGAGGCCGAGGGGAAUCCCGGAGGAGGGGGGAAAUCCUAUAAUCCCGGGAGGACCACCUGUGGCGAAGGCGCUCGGCUGGAACGCGUCCGACGGUGAUGGACGAAGGCCAGGGGAGCAAACCGGAUUAGAUACCCGGGUAGUCCUGGCUGUAAACGAUGCGGACUUUGUGUCGGACAAGCUAUGAGCUUGUCCGGUGCCGGAGGGAAACCGUUAAGUCCGCCGCCUGGGGAGUACGGCCGCAAGGCUGAAACUUAACGGAAUUGUCGGG
rnacentral:rRNA from 1 species